rnacentral:rRNA from 1 species
UUAAGCGACUAAGCGUACACGGUGGAUGCCCUGGCAGUCAGAGGCGAUGAAGGACGUGCUAAUCUGCGAUAAGCGUCGGUAAGGUGAUAUGAACCGUUAUAACCGGCGAUUUCCGAAUGGGGAAACCCAGUGUGUUUCGACACACUAUCAUUAACUGAAUCCAUAGGUUAAUGAGGCGAACCGGGGGAACUGAAACAUCUAAGUACCCCGAGGAAAAGAAAUCAACCGAGAUUCCCCCAGUAGCGGCGAGCGAACGGGGAGCAGCCCAGAGCCUGAAUCAGUGUGUGUGUUAGUGGAAGCGUCUGGAAAGGCGCGCGAUACAGGGUGACAGCCCCGUACACAAAAAUGCACAUGCUGUGAGCUCGAUGAGUAGGGCGGGACACGUGGUAUCCUGUCUGAAUAUGGGGGGACCAUCCUCCAAGGCUAAAUACUCCUGACUGACCGAUAGUGAACCAGUACCGUGAGGGAAAGGCGAAAAGAACCCCGGCGAGGGGAGUGAAAAAGAACCUGAAACCGUGUACGUACAAGCAGUGGGAGCACGCUUAGGCGUGUGACUGCGUACCUUUUGUAUAAUGGGUCAGCGACUUAUAUUCUGUAGCAAGGUUAACCGAAUAGGGGAGCCGAAGGGAAACCGAGUCUUAACUGGGCGUUAAGUUGCAGGGUAUAGACCCGAAACCCGGUGAUCUAGCCAUGGGCAGGUUGAAGGUUGGGUAACACUAACUGGAGGACCGAACCGACUAAUGUUGAAAAAUUAGCGGAUGACUUGUGGCUGGGGGUGAAAGGCCAAUCAAACCGGGAGAUAGCUGGUUCUCCCCGAAAGCUAUUUAGGUAGCGCCUCGUGAAUUCAUCUCCGGGGGUAGAGCACUGUUUCGGCAAGGGGGUCAUCCCGACUUACCAACCCGAUGCAAACUGCGAAUACCGGAGAAUGUUAUCACGGGAGACACACGGCGGGUGCUAACGUCCGUCGUGAAGAGGGAAACAACCCAGACCGCCAGCUAAGGUCCCAAAGUCAUGGUUAAGUGGGAAACGAUGUGGGAAGGCCCAGACAGCCAGGAUGUUGGCUUAGAAGCAGCCAUCAUUUAAAGAAAGCGUAAUAGCUCACUGGUCGAGUCGGCCUGCGCGGAAGAUGUAACGGGGCUAAACCAUGCACCGAAGCUGCGGCAGCGACGCUUAUGCGUUGUUGGGUAGGGGAGCGUUCUGUAAGCCUGUGAAGGUGUGCUGUGAGGCAUGCUGGAGGUAUCAGAAGUGCGAAUGCUGACAUAAGUAACGAUAAAGCGGGUGAAAAGCCCGCUCGCCGGAAGACCAAGGGUUCCUGUCCAACGUUAAUCGGGGCAGGGUGAGUCGACCCCUAAGGCGAGGCCGAAAGGCGUAGUCGAUGGGAAACAGGUUAAUAUUCCUGUACUUGGUGUUACUGCGAAGGGGGGACGGAGAAGGCUAUGUUGGCCGGGCGACGGUUGUCCCGGUUUAAGCGUGUAGGCUGGUUUUCCAGGCAAAUCCGGAAAAUCAAGGCUGAGGCGUGAUGACGAGGCACUACGGUGCUGAAGCAACAAAUGCCCUGCUUCCAGGAAAAGCCUCUAAGCAUCAGGUAACAUCAAAUCGUACCCCAAACCGACACAGGUGGUCAGGUAGAGAAUACCAAGGCGCUUGAGAGAACUCGGGUGAAGGAACUAGGCAAAAUGGUGCCGUAACUUCGGGAGAAGGCACGCUGAUAUGUAGGUGAAGUCCCUCGCGGAUGGAGCUGAAAUCAGUCGAAGAUACCAGCUGGCUGCAACUGUUUAUUAAAAACACAGCACUGUGCAAACACGAAAGUGGACGUAUACGGUGUGACGCCUGCCCGGUGCCGGAAGGUUAAUUGAUGGGGUUAGCGCAAGCGAAGCUCUUGAUCGAAGCCCCGGUAAACGGCGGCCGUAACUAUAACGGUCCUAAGGUAGCGAAAUUCCUUGUCGGGUAAGUUCCGACCUGCACGAAUGGCGUAAUGAUGGCCAGGCUGUCUCCACCCGAGACUCAGUGAAAUUGAACUCGCUGUGAAGAUGCAGUGUACCCGCGGCAAGACGGAAAGACCCCGUGAACCUUUACUAUAGCUUGACACUGAACAUUGAGCCUUGAUGUGUAGGAUAGGUGGGAGGCUUUGAAGUGUGGACGCCAGUCUGCAUGGAGCCGACCUUGAAAUACCACCCUUUAAUGUUUGAUGUUCUAACGUUGACCCGUAAUCCGGGUUGCGGACAGUGUCUGGUGGGUAGUUUGACUGGGGCGGUCUCCUCCUAAAGAGUAACGGAGGAGCACGAAGGUUGGCUAAUCCUGGUCGGACAUCAGGAGGUUAGUGCAAUGGCAUAAGCCAGCUUGACUGCGAGCGUGACGGCGCGAGCAGGUGCGAAAGCAGGUCAUAGUGAUCCGGUGGUUCUGAAUGGAAGGGCCAUCGCUCAACGGAUAAAAGGUACUCCGGGGAUAACAGGCUGAUACCGCCCAAGAGUUCAUAUCGACGGCGGUGUUUGGCACCUCGAUGUCGGCUCAUCACAUCCUGGGGCUGAAGUAGGUCCCAAGGGUAUGGCUGUUCGCCAUUUAAAGUGGUACGCGAGCUGGGUUUAGAACGUCGUGAGACAGUUCGGUCCCUAUCUGCCGUGGGCGCUGGAGAACUGAGGGGGGCUGCUCCUAGUACGAGAGGACCGGAGUGGACGCAUCACUGGUGUUCGGGUUGUCAUGCCAAUGGCACUGCCCGGUAGCUAAAUGCGGAAGAGAUAAGUGCUGAAAGCAUCUAAGCACGAAACUUGCCCCGAGAUGAGUUCUCCCUGACCCUUUAAGGGUCCUGAAGGAACGUUGAAGACGACGACGUUGAUAGGCCGGGUGUGUAAGCGCAGCGAUGCGUUGAGCUAACCGGUACUAAUGAACCGUGAGGCUUAACCUU